rnacentral:rRNA from 1 species
UACGGAGGGGACUAGCGUUGUUCGGAAUUACUGGGCGUAAAGCGCACGUAGGCGGCUUGGUAUGUCGGGUGUGAAAUCCCCGGGCUCAACCUGGGAACUGCAUCCGAAACUGCCUUGCUAGAGUAUGGGAGAGGGAAGUGGAAUUUCCGGUGUAGCGGUGAAAUGCGUAGAUAUCGGAAGGAACAUCAGUGGCGAAGGCGACUUCCUGGACCAAUACUGACGCUCAGGUGCGAAAGCGUGGGGAGCAAACAGG